CCCUAGUAACUGCRAGUGAAGCGGGAAAAGCUCAAAUUUAAAAUCUGAUGGUCUUUGACCGUCCGAGUUGUAAUCUAGAGAAGUGAUACCCGCRCUGGACCAUGUGCAAGUCUCCUGGAAUGGAGCAUCACAGAGGGUGAGAAUCCCGUCUUUGACAUGGACUACCAGGGCUUUGUGGUGAGCUCUCAAAGAGUCGAGUUGUUUGGGAAUGCAGCUCAAAAUGGGUGGUAAAUGCCAUCUAAAGCUAAAUAUUGGCGAGAGACCGAUAGCGAACAAGUACCGUGAGGGAAAGAUGAAAAGAACUUUGGAAAGAGAGUUAAACAGUACRUGAAAUUGCUGAAAGGGAAACGCUUGAAGUCAGUCGCAUCGACUGGAAAUCAA
rnacentral:rRNA from 1 species